UUGAGCAUACGAAUUAGAGCUUGAAUUAACACUUGAAGUGACACUUUGAGCGACUUAGCAUGACUGCGCCCCAACUUUCAGGCUGCUUCUGUUCUUGACAGAUUUUACCUGCGAGACACUAAGCAGAUCAACUCUGCAAAUGAUUUAACACAGAAUGUUAUGGCUUCUAUGCUUCUAGGAGGUAACAGAAGAAAAAGUUCUUACUUCUCUUUAAACAGGAAAAAAUCUAACAGAAGAAACUUUAACGUACUAUCUAUAUAGAUUACUGUUGGAUUUGAUUCACAUGGAUUGAUAAUAGAAUCAACAAUGAUUAGAGCAUCUUACACCAUCUACAUGACAUGCACAAAAUAUUCUAAAUUGCCGCAUUGGUCAAGGCAUCACCAUGAACCUUCCACUUCUUAAACUCAGUAGAGGCUAACAUAAAUGAACUCGCAUUCCGAUGGCCUCCACCACCGAAUUCCUGCAUGUGAUUCUAUGAUGUAUUAGCUCUUAACUCUAGCUAUGCAUUUUCAUAACUGAACAGGAGAAGUGCUAUGAGUUGUGAAGAUAUUAAGAACCUGUGAGAUUUGUGUUGUAUCCUCAUUCUCAAUGCUUCUUAAGCUUAUUUUCAGCAGUCGAUCAUUUUCAUAUGUUGUACUAAUGUCUAUUUCUGAAGAACAUGUCACAUGACGAUGUUGGAGUUUUCAUUUAGGUUGCGAUUGGCUGUUUGAUAUCCUACUCUGAUGUAGGUUGCAUUCUAAAAUUCUCUUACUUGACUCCUGAGACCUCUUCUCCUACUUGGCACUGAAUGAGUUUUUCUUCAUUUAACAUAUGUAUGAAUUUUUCAGAUAUGGCAUCUGAAGCAACAUCUCAGUCAAAAGGGAAAGGCAAAGGGUAUUUCACUUGGACUCCUGAAAUGGAUCGUGUAAUGGGCACCUGUUUUAUUGACCAAAUGAACCAAGGAAACAAAUUGGAUGGUAAAUGUGCAUUGGUAAUUGAUUUUUUUUGGUAAUCUCCAGUUGAAGUUGUUUUGUAGAAGAAGUUGAGCUGAUUGCUGGAAGCCCAAGUAGAGCAAGUAGAAGUUGUUACUACUCCAUCGUGUAUCCAUGACUUUUUAAAUUCUGAUGAGUUCUUUGUUUUUUAUGUAAUGGAUCAAAACAAGAUUAUAGAAAGAUUCUAGAGAGUAUUUCAGCUAUUUUCUCUGUUUUUGAGAUGAUAAGAAUGGAACAUUGGAUCUUUUGUCUGAUGAACUAGCAUUUUAGAUAUUGAGAUUAACAUAGCUGCCUGUGUUGAUGCCCUGACUUGUCCU